AGCUUGCUCUCGGGUGACGAGCGGCGGACGGGUGAGUAAUGUCUGGGAAACUGCCUGAUGGAGGGGGAUAACUACUGGAAACGGUAGCUAAUACCGCAUAAUGUCGCAAGACCAAAGUGGGGGACCUUCGGGCCUCAUGCCAUCAGAUGUGCCCAGAUGGGAUUAGCUAGUAGGUGGGGUAACGGCUCACCUAGGCGACGAUCCCUAGCUGGUCUGAGAGGAUGACCAGCCACACUGGAACUGAGACACGGUCCAGACUCCUACGGGAGGCAGCAGUGGGGAAUAUUGCACAAUGGGCGCAAGCCUGAUGCAGCCAUGCCGCGUGUGUGAAGAAGGCCUUCGGGUUGUAAAGCACUUUCAGCGGGGAGGAAGGCGAUAAGGUUAAUAACCUUGUCGAUUGACGUUACCCGCAGAAGAAGCACCGGCUAACUCCGUGCCAGCAGCCGCGGUAAUACGGAGGGUGCAAGCGUUAAUCGGAAUUACUGGGCGUAAAGCGCACGCAGGCGGUCUGUCAAGUCGGAUGUGAAAUCCCCGGGCUCAACCUGGGAACUGCAUUCGAAACUGGCAGGCUAGAGUCUUGUAGAGGGGGGUAGAAUUCCAGGUGUAGCGGUGAAAUGCGUAGAGAUCUGGAGGAAUACCGGUGGCGAAGGCGGCCCCCUGGACAAAGACUGACGCUCAGGUGCGAAAGCGUGGGGAGCAACAGGAUUAGAUACCCUGGUAGUCCACGCC
rnacentral:rRNA from 2 species